ACUGACUGUGUCUUCAUCACAAACGAGGGUAUGAGAAAUGCAAAAAAAAAGACUGAUGGUAGAUGGGGAGAUAUGGUUUUCUUUUUCAUCACAAUCGAGGUGGAAGGGAGGGAGAGUUUUUUAGGGAAAGAAUUUCUAUGACGAUUCUUUGAUUCUUUUCUUGUUAAAAUUUUUUCCCGAGAAUGAACCACCCAGUCUUGAUUAUUACCUCCUUCUGAAAAACUGAAACCAACCCUAUUAAUUAUUUACAGCUCUUCAAUUUUCUCUCUCUUAUUUACUGUAGUAGCUCAUCUUUCAUCUUAAAUAGUGCCCAACUGCCCUCUUUCUUACACCUCAUACUUGGUACUAAUAAUCCAGCCUUUUUCCCUGCACGUCUUUCAUUUGUGUAGGCGUGUGUGUGAUGUCAGUGGUGGAUUUUGUGUGUUCUUGGACUAGGUCAUGGCGGUUUAUCAAAGGGUUUCUACCAGAAUUUAUUGGCAUUCUGUCCACCUCCAUUCCUGUUAAGAAAUUUCAUUCUGAUGAUAUAUGGAGGUGGGCAUACUGCCAACUGAGUUCUGUUGAAUUCUCUUUGUAAAACCCUCGUGAAGCUCUUUCCCUUGUUUUCGACUGUAUACAGAGCCAAGCAGCUAAGCUGGCGGCAAAAAGCUUCAGAAUCCAGAUGAAAUAGAAGUUAAACAAUAGAAUAGAACUUCUGCUAAGGAAUGGAACCCUACUUCUCAGAUUUUGUGUGUAAAUCAAUUAAAUCAUUUUCCUAGGAAAAUUUAUCUGGCUAGCUAGUUACUUUCAAGAUGUGUUGAUCACCUGCUUCGCAGCUCAACAGUCAAGAUCAUAAAAGGAGAAAUAGAGAUUUCUCCAUUGAUUUUCCGUCAAGAGAAGGAAAUCCCAGAAAAAGUUGGAAGAGGAAAAAACUUCCUAGUACAAAAUCUAUUUAUUGCCUUUUCAGUUUAAAUGUCAAACAGAAGGAUAUGUAUAAAUUAUUUCACUUCCAUUUUCUUCCUGAA